UUCACAAGAACACUGUCCCCUCCAAACGCAGUGACUUUUAUCCCCCGCCCCUUCUCCCGCCUGCCUCACCAGGGCGCACACGCUCCUUGGCCCCGGUCGGCUGGCUGUGAUUGGCGCCGGCGGCCCCAGCAGAUGACGGAGGAGACAAAGUGAUGGCUGCAGGUCGUCUGAGGUCCCACCCCGGCCACGUGCGGCUUCUGUGAUGACAGGUCCAGAAGGGCGGGGCUUUGGCUGACUAGCUAGGGCGGAGGUUCCUGAGAUUGUCUUGCUGGUGUGAGCAAGCUACUUACUUAAGGAACUCGAGCCUCUGUAAGGACUACUCAAUAGUAAUGUGUAUUUGUCCUAAAGGAAAUCAGUGAGGUUUGCAACCUAGAGUAAAGGAAUCUCGGGGGUCUGUAAAAAGUGGGAGAGUUUGAACAGUGGGGUUUCAGGUUUGUUAAAUUAUGUGGUUGCGUCUGGAUUCAGGAAUGGGCAGAAGUAUCUAUUUCUGUUAAGGUGGCUCGGGGAAAUGUGUGACCUUGUUUCGAAAGUGGGAGGCAAGACGCAGAGUGAGAAAAAAAUUGCAAUAGAUUUUUCUAGCAGAAAGAAGACUGCCAAGAAUAAACAAAGAGCUCCAAACAAAUAGAAAAACACACACACACACAAAUGAAAAUAAACGAUGCUGUUCCUUGAAAUGUAAAAGUAUCGACAUGGACUAUAGCGCCUUACAUUGAUGAAGAAAAGUAUUUUGCCUUUUAAAGGCACUGAAGAAAGUCUGUGAAGUCAAUACUUUUCAGUUUAAUUAGGUCUUGAGUCCUCUACAGGAAAUACGGAGGGGCAGAAAGAUGUCCUCCACAUACCAGUAGAUGGCAGCACAGUACUCUUGCAGAGCUAAAUGAGGGAAUCCAAAGACCCAGUCGGGGCCUUCCUGUUACUUUGAUGAGGUCUGUGUGUAGGUCUGUGCAUGUGAACCUAGGUGCCUGCGGAGUCUAGAAGAGAAUGGCAGAUCCCCUAGAGCUGGAGCUGGAGCUGGAGUUGGAGUUGGAGUUGGAGUUGGAGUUGGAGCUGGAGCUGAAGCUGGAACUGUACACCAAUUCCUAUGAACUUGAGAGGGGGAGACAUUACAGAGAACAUUCUAUGAAAAGGACAGAUGGUAGUUGGAGAGCUGGCUCAUCCCUUCAGAGCACUGGUUGUUCUUUCAAACAUUGACCUGGGUUCAAUUGUCAGCUAUGUGGGAGAGCACACUCAGAGACAGGGACAUCUCGGGGAGUCCCCAGGGGUCAUGAGGCCCAAAGUGGCUGGAUAAUAUGGGGAAGAACAGCGCAGCCCCUGGCCUGGAGAGCUUAAGGUAAGGGGGCAGGGUGUGCCAGCUAAGAGGGCCCUGUAAUAGGUAGGGACCGAGGGACGCAGGGAGAACCUGGCAUCCAGGUUCACUUUGAUAUGUUAAAUAGGUACCUCAGUCCUGGGCUGAUACCUAACAGUAGGCAAACUGUAAAGAUUAUAGCAUGUCCGGCAGAGGAGGGCGGAGAAGAUGAGCAAGGAGGUAAACCACUGGGUGGCAGGCAGUCCCGCCUGGACAAGAGCUUUAGCAAACGCGUAAGAAAGCACGGAGACAAGUUAGGGAGUUUAAAAAUAUACUUAGAUGCUGGCCAGUAUCUGAGAGAAAAAGACAGAGAAGAAGAAAAAGAAAUGAGUACACUUUUCUAGGUCAGGCAGAGCCAGAAGAACCUCACGAUGGCUCUUAGGGUCUUCAACAUUUGAACUCAGGCCAUCAGGAGUGGCAGCAAGCCGUUUUACUCCCUGAGCCAUCUCAUCGACUUUGGGGUUUUCUUAAUUACAUCAUGGGAAGGCCCAUCUUGAAUGUUAUGGACUAAACAGUUCCCUCAAGCCUCUGCAAUGUGGCCUCCCUGCCAUGACGGACUGUAACUUGGAACUGUGAUAUAAAACAAAGCCAUACCUAAGA
rnacentral:lncRNA from 1 species